GAGAGAGGAUAAAGAGGACAGAGAGGAGAGAGAGAAUCCCAAGCAGGCUCCAUGGCCAGCGCAGAGUCUAAUGCAGGUCUCAAUCUCAUGAACUGUGAGGUCAUGACCCGAUCUGAAAUCAAGAGUGAGACACCCAGGUGCCCCAGUAAUCAAUAUUUUUAUGCUAGGAUUCAUGAAAAUCCUAAAGGUCAGUAGAAGAAAACAAAUGGAUAAAAAAUGACAGAAACCAGUAAGGGUAAUAUAAUGAUAACAUUAUAUUAAUGCUUUAUUGGGCACCUAGUAUGUGCAGAUUUGGUAGAAUAGUCAUUAAAUGUUUUCUCAGUCUUCAUUGUGAAUCAGUGAGAAUGGGUGCCAUCAUGACUAACUUGUAUGAGGCUCAAGAAAAAGUAGUUAUCUUACUGUUGCAGAGCUAGUAAAUGAAUCCAGGAGUGACCAAAUGUCAAAGCCAAGAUUCUUCUCACUACACUAAACUUCACAGAGAUAAAGCCAUGGGGGGUUGGGGAGAGGAGAGAAGAAAAGCAAAUUGAAAUAAUAAAGGAUAACAUGUCUCUGUAACAGGCUGCUUUUUUUGUCUGUCUUUGCAUUGCCAUUAUUCUUCAACCAGUAUAGAAUCCUGGAGGAGACAGACUUCCGGAAUGGCUGAACAAGAACGUUCAUGAACUCACCUUCCCAUAAAAAUAAUUAAAAUACUGGCAAAACAACUAAAGUAACCAUUUCAAAACUCUGAAAACUAACCAAAGCCACAGAACAAACUGAGAAUUACUUAAGAGAAACUACUGAACCUCGAUAGGAUACCAAAAUCACACGUGACAAAGAAAAACAGAUGAAUUGGAAUAUAUCAAAAUGAAGAACUUUUUGUAAUGCAAAUGAUCCAGUCAAGACAGGACUUUGACAGAGGAUUCUGAUGUGACUAAAGCCCGCUUCCGAUGAGCCACUUUGUAUUUCGGCAUCUUGUUAAACAGAGUUGUUGAUUAGCGAAAAGAAAAACACAUGUUUCUGUUUAAAAUUGCUACUAUGUGUAGGAAACAAGUACAACUAUCUCAGGUAAGUUCUCUAUCAAUUAAAUUCAAAACUAAUUUAAAGUUAUAAAUUCAUUAAAAAUAAAGUAAAUAGGAAGGCGCC